GAUGAACGCUGGCGGCGUGCCUAAUACAUGCAAGUCGAGCGAACGGACGAGAAGCUUGCUUCUCUGAUGUUAGCGGCGGACGGGUGAGUAACACGUGGAUAACCUACCUAUAAGACUGGGAUAACUUCGGGAAACCGGAACUAAUACCGGAUGAUAUUUUGAACCGCAUGGUUCAAAAGUGAAAGACGGUCUUGCUGUCACUUAUAGAUGGAUCCGCGCUGCAUUAGCUAGUUGGUAAGGUAACGGCUUACCAAGGCAACGAUGCAUAGCCGACCUGAGAGGGUGAUCGGCCACACUGGAACUGAGACACGGUCCAGACUCCUACGGGAGGCAGCAGUAGGGAAUCUUCCGCAAUGGGCGAAAGCCUGAUGGAGCAACGCCGCGUGAGUGAUGAAGGUCUUCGGAUCGUAAAACUCUGUUAUUAGGGAAGAACAUAUGUGUAAGUAACUGUGCACAUCUUGACGGUACCUAAUCAGAAAGCCACGGCUAACUACGUG
rnacentral:rRNA from 1 species